rnacentral:rRNA from 1 species
UACAGAGGGUGCGAGCGUUAAUCGGAAUUACUGGGCGUAAAGCGCGCGUAGACGGUUUUGUAAGUCAGAUGUGAAAUCCCUGGGCUCAACCUGGGAACUGCAUUUGAGACUGCAUGGCUAGAGUAUGGAAGAGGGAAGUGGAAUCUCCGGUGUAGCGGUGAAAUGCGUAGAUAUCGGAAGGAACACCAGUGGCGAAAGCGACUUCCUGGUCCAAUACUGACGUUCAUGUGCGAAAGCGUGGGGAGCAAACAGG